rnacentral:rRNA from 1 species
GAUGAACGCUAGCUACAGGCUUAACACAUGCAAGUCGAGGGACCGGCGCACGGGAGAGUAACACGUAUACAACCUGCCCUUUACUCGGAGAUAGCCUUGCGAAAGAAAGAUUAAUACCAGAUAUAAAGGAUGGGGAUGCGUUCCAUUAGGUUGUUGGUGAGGUAACGUCCCACCAAGCCUUCGAUGGGUAGGGGUGCUGAGAGGAAGGGCUCCGACAGUGGAACGGCGCCACGGUCCAAACUCCUCCGAGAGGAAGCAGUUAGGUAUAUUGGUGAAUGGUCGCUAGCCGGCACCUGCCAAGUCGCGUGAAGGAGGAAGGCUUCUGGGUCGUAAACUUCUUUUAUACAAGAAUAUGUAUUAUAUGAAUAAGGAUCGGCUAACUCCGUGCCAGCAGCCGCGGUAAUAC